GGUAUGGCUCAGUGGUAGAGCACUUGCUUAGCAUGCAUGAGGCCCUGGGUUUGAUCCCAGAGACCA
rnacentral:tRNA from 1 species